rnacentral:rRNA from 1 species
AGUGAACGCUGGCGGUAGGCCUAACACAUGCAAGUCGAACGGCAGCACAGUAAGAGCCUGCUCUUACGGGUGGCGAGUGGCGGACGGGUGAGGAAUACAUCGGAAUCUACUUUUUCGUGGGGGAUAACGUAGGGAAACUUACGCUAAUACCGCAUACGACCUACGGGUGAAAGCAGGGGAUCUUCGGACCUUGCGCGAUUGAAUGAGCCGAUGUCGGAUUAGCUAGUUGGCGGGGUAAAGGCCCACCAAGGCGACGAUCCGUAGCUGGUCUGAGAGGAUGAUCAGCCACACUGGAACUGAGACACGGUCCAGACUCCUACGGGAGGCAGCAGUGGGGAAUAUUGGACAAUGGGCGCAAGCCUGAUCCAGCCAUACCGCGUGGGUGAAGAAGGCCUUCGGGUUGUAAAGCCCUUUUGUUGGGAAAGAAAAGCAGCAGGUUAAUACCCCGCUGUUCUGACGGUACUCAAAGAAUAAGCACCGGCUAACUUCGUG